AUGAUUAAAGACAAUAAAGUGUACUGUAGUGUUUAUAUCAGAAAUGCCUUCUUCUCUGAGAUAGGCAUUGGGAUCUCAGCCAACAGCUGCCUUCUCCUCUUCCACACCUUCAUGUUCAUUUGUGGGCACAGGCCCAGACUCACUGACUUGUCCAUUGGCCUUGUGGCCCCAAUACACCUAGUGAUGCUGUUACUUGCAGCAUAUAUAACCAGAGACUUUUUAUGUCUUCAGCAGGAUGGGAUGACAUCACAUGUAAAGUAUUCAUUUUCUUGCACAGGUUUUUCAGGAGCUUCUCUGUUUGUGCCACUUGUCUGUUGAUUGUCUUCCAGGCCAUCAUCCUCUGCCCUCAAAGCUCUCGCAUAGCAAAGUUCAAACACAAUUGCCCACAAAAGCAUUUAUAUUUCUUUAUUUUACUGAAUAUCUUCUACACAUCCAUCAGCAGCCAUAUCUUCAUAGCAACUAUAGCCCCAGGAAAUCUCACCUUAGUUAAUCUUAUAUAUAUAUAUAUAAUGAAAACUUGCUCUUUUGUACCCAUGAGUUCCUCAAUGCAACACCUUCUCCACACUACAGGAAUUUUCAGCUUGUUUUCUAAAAUGUCUUGUUUUUGGUCUCAUGUUCCUUUCAACUUGCUACAUGGCAACUCUCUUGUUCAGGCAUAAGACUGUCCCAGUGCCUUCAGGACUCAAACAUUUCUCCAAAAGCAACUCUUGAGCAAAGAGCUCUGUGGACCAUUCUAAUGCUUAUGAGCUUCUUUCUGGUGAUGUCAACUUUUGACAGAAUUAUGAAGUACUCAAUAUGAUAUUCCAGGAAAAUCCAUUGAUAUAUUGUGUCCAGAUUCUU
rnacentral:lncRNA from 1 species